rnacentral:lncRNA from 1 species
GAUAACAUGGGACUAAGCGCGAGAAUAUAUAUAUAUAUAUAUAGAGAGAGAGAGAGAGAGAAAGAGAGGGGACUCAGCGCGAAUAUAAAUAGAGAGAGGGUAGGACUACUAUAUUCUUAUAAAUAUAGAAUUUCUUGUAUUCAUAAAUUAUUUUUAAUAAUAGAGAUUCUGAAUCGAUGAUUCACACUGUUAAAUAUAAUUUAAAACAUUUAAAACUUCUAGAAAAUAAAUUUCAUAAUUUUUCGAAAAUGUAAUAAAGUCCAUCAAGCGGGUAUAAAAUAAACGGUCAAAAUUGAAUGACGUCGUAAAAAUAGAUGAUCAAAUCCGUCAAUUUAAGAUCGGAGGUAUUAAUCUUUAUUUGAAUAGUGAAUAAAAUUUAGAGCGUGUUUGGUUCGCUUCUUUUUCACCAUAAAAUCGGAAUCGGAAUGGGUGAAUCCGUUUAUGGGUGUUUGGUACGCGGGAGUACUCAUUCCGAUUCCGAUUCCCGAGUGGAAUGGAAAUCCCCGAAUCACCCCUUUUUUCAAUCCGGCCUAGGAGGCCGGAUUGAAAGUUGAAUCCGGACGGAAUGGAUAUUUAUUCGGAUUAAAUUUAUUUUUUCAACUUUUUUAAUUAAAAUAUGAGUUAAAAUUUAAAAAUUAAAUAUUAAAUUUUAAAUUUUAAUUUGGA